GGCCUACCAUGGUGGUAACGGGUAACGGGGUGUUAGGGCACGACACCGGAGAGGGAGCCUGAGAAACGGCUACCACAUCCAAGGAUGGCAGCAGGCGCGCAAAUUACCCAAUCCCGACACGGGGAGGUAGUGACAAUAAAUAACAAUACGGGGUUCUUUCGGAUUUCGUAAUUGGAAUGAGUACAAUUUAAAUCUCUUAACGAGGAACAAUUGGAGGGCAAGUCUGGUGCCAGCAGCCGCGGUAAUUCCAGCUCCAAUAGCGUAUAUUAAAGUUGCUGCAGUUAAGAAGCUCGUAGUUGAAUUUCGGGACCAUCAUGUCGGUCGUGCCUCGGUACGUACUGGCAUUGUUGGUUUCUCCCUUCUGACGAACCAUGAUGUCAUUUAUUUGGUGUUGUGGGGAAUCAGGACUGUUACUUUGAAAAAAUUAGAGUGUUUAAAGCAGGCUCACGCUUGAAUACAUUAGCAUGGAAUAAUGAAAUAGGACGUUUGAUUCUAUUUUGUUGGUUUCUAGGAUCGACGUAAUGAUUAAUAGGGAUAGUUGGGGGCAUUAGUAUUCAAUUGUCAGAGGUGAAAUUCUUGGAUUUAUUGAAGACUAACUACUGCGAAAGCAUUUGCCAAGGAUGUUUUCAUUAAUCAAGAACGAAAGUUAGGGGAUCGAAGACGAUCAGGUACCGUCGUAGUCUUAACCAUAAACUAUGCCGACUAGGGAUCGGAUGAUGUUAAUUUUUUAAUGACUCAUUCGGCGCCUUACG
rnacentral:rRNA from 1 species